rnacentral:lncRNA from 1 species
AAGUUGACCAUCAUGCAGAUGUUCCAGGAACUGCACACAGUGCAUGACAUUUUCUAUGCCGAUAUGUUGCAACAUGCAACAUAUUGGUAUGGAAAAUGUCAUGGAAGAUGAUGGGCACUGCAUGCAGUUCUUGGAAUAUCUGAAUGGUGGUCAUAUUGAACUUUGUGUAAUUGACAGUGGGUGUUGGCACGUAUUGUUUAGAGGCUUGAUGUGUCUUGUCUCGUUUGGUGAUUGCACGUUCCUUAAUCGCACAUUCUGCACUUUUGCAGCAUCACAAUCCCCCUGCUGGUGAUUUUUGGUAUUAAAUUUUUUUCGGAAUCGAAGCUGUAUGUUCC